UUUAUAUUUAUGAUUCACUUCUUUAAAAAGGUUUCUCAAAGUCAACUUCCGGUAUUGACGUAAAAACGGCGAAAUGCUUCCAUCGCUAUUUUGUGGGUG